rnacentral:rRNA from 1 species
CGUGAGGGAAAGGUGAAAAGCACCCCGGAAGGGGAGUGAAACAGUUCCUGAAACCGUGUGCCUACAAGUAGUUAGAGCCCGUUAAUGGGUGAUAGCGUGCCUUUUGUAGAAUGAACCGGCGAGUUACGAUUUGUUGCAAGGUUAAGCGGAAAAAGCGGAGCCGUAGCGAAAGCGAGUCUGAAUAGGGCGCAUAAGUAACAGGUCGUAGACCCGAAACCAGGUGAUCUACCCAUGUCCAGGAUGAAGGUAAGGUAAUACUUACUGGAGGUCCGAACCCACGCACGUUGAAAAGUGCGGGGAUGAGGUGUGGGUAGCGGAGAAAUUCCAAUCGAACUUGGAGAUAGCUGGUUCUCUCCGAAAUAGCUUUAGGGCUAGCCUCGAGGUAAAGAGUCAUGGAGGUAGAGCACUGUUUGGACUAGGGGCCCUUCUCGGGUUACCGAAUUCAGAUAAACUCCGAAUGCCAUGUACUUAUACUCGGGAGUCAGACUGCGAGUGAUAAGAUCCGUAGUCGAAAGGGAAACAGCCCAGACCACCAGUUAAGGUCCCCAAAUAUAUGUUAAGUGGAAAAGGAUGUGGGGUUGCUUAGACAACCAGGAUGUUGGCUUAGAAGCAGCCACCAUUGAAAGAGUGCGUAAUAGCUCACUGGUCGAGUGACCCCGCGCCGAAAAUGUACCGGGGCUAAACAUAUUACCGAAACUGUGGAUGAACCUCUUUAGAGGUUCGUGGUAGGAGAGCGUUCUAAGGGCGGUGAAGUCAGACCGGAAGGACUGGUGGAGCGCUUAGAAGUGAGAAUGCCGGUAUGAGUAGCGAAAGAAGGGUGAGAAUCCCUUCCACCGAAUAUCUAAGGUUUCCUGAGGAAGGCUCGUCCGCUCAGGGUUAGUCGGGACCUAAGCCGAGGCCGAUAGGCGUAGGCGAUGGACAACAGGUAGAGAUUCCUGUACCAGUGCUAAUUGUUUAACCGAUGGGGUGACACAGAAGGAUAGGGAAUCGCACGAAUGGAAAUGUGCGUCCAAGCAGUGAGUGUGAGAA